UACAGAGGUCUCAAGCGUUGUUCGGAUUCAUUGGGCGUAAAGGGUGCGUAGGCGGCGCGGUAAGUCGGGUGUGAAAUCUUGGAGCUUAACUCCGAAACUGCAUUCGAUACUGCCGUGCUUGAGGACUGGAGAGGAGACUGGAAUUCAUGGUGUAGCAGUGAAAUGCGUAGAGAUCAUGAGGAAGACCAGUGGCGAAGGCGGGUCUCUGGACAACUCCUGACACUGAGGCACGAAAGCUAGGGGAGCAAACGGG
rnacentral:rRNA from 1 species